rnacentral:rRNA from 1 species
GAAGGAGAGAGUGCUUUAUUGAACCAAGUGACAGGGUGUUGCAUGGCCGUUGUCAGCUCGUGUCGUGAGAUGUUUGGUUAAGUCCAUCAACGAGCGCAACCCUUAUAGUUAGUUGAAUUUCUCUAGCUAGACUGCCCUGGUAACAGGGAGGAAGGAGGGGAUGACUUCAGGUCGGUAUUGCCCUUACGUCUGGGGCUACAAACACGCUACAAUGGCCGGUACAAAGGGCUGCCAAGUCGCGAGACGGAGCAAAUCCCAUCAAAGCCGGUCCCAGUUCAGAUUGCAGGCUGAAACUCGCCUGCAUGAAGCCGGAAUCGCUAGUAAUGGUAGGUCAGCACACUACCGUGAAUACGUUCCCGGGUCUUGUACACACCGCCCGUCAAACCAUGAAAGUCGCCAAUACCUGACGUGCUAGCUUGCCUAGCCCUAAGGUAGGGGAGAUGAUUGGGGUUAAGUCGUAACAAGGUAACCGUAA